GCCUUCGUGGUGUAGUGGGCAGCACUCUUGACGCGUAUUCGAGAGAUCCGUGGUUCGAGUCCCGGCAAGGGCA
rnacentral:tRNA from 1 species